UACGGGGGGGGCAAGCGUUGUUCGGAAUUACUGGGCGUAAAGGGCUCGUAGGUGGCCAACUAAGUCGGACGUGAAAUCCCUCGGCUUAACCGGGGAACUGCGUCUGAUACUGGAUGGCUUGAGUUCGGGAGAGGGAUGCGGAAUUCCAGGUGUAGCGGUGAAAUGCGUAGAUAUCUGGAGGAACACCGGUGGCGAAGGCGGCAUCCUGGACCGACACUGACGCUCAUGCACGAAAGCGUGGGGAGCAAACAGG
rnacentral:rRNA from 1 species